CGCCUCUUGAAUCAGUAUAAGAGGUCCAGCCUGCCCAGUGACCCUGUUCAACGGCCGCGGUAUCCUAACCGUGCGAAGGUAGCGUAAUCACUUGUUCUUUAAAUGAGGACUAGUAUGAACGGCAUCACGAAGGUUAUACUGUCUCCUUUUUCUAAUCAGUGAAUCUAAUCUCCCCGUGAAGAAGCGGGAAUAUAACUAUAAGACGAGAAGACCCUAUGGAGCUUAAAACAACACAGCACUUGUCAAAAAACUAAACAAUUCCAGAAUUUUUAAUUUCUAGGCAACAUGACUAUAAGUUUUUGGUUGGGGUGACCGCGGAGUAUAAUAUAACCUCCAUGUUGAAAGAAUUUUAUUCUAAGCCAAAAAGUACAUUUUUAAGCAUCAAUAAAUUGACAUCUAUUGACCCAAUAUAAUUGAACAACGAACCAAGUUACCCUAGGGAUAACAGCGCAAUCCACUUCAAGAGCUCCUAUCGACAAGUGGGUUUACGACCUCGAUGUUGGAUCAGGGUUUCCCAGUGGUGCAGCCGCUACUAAAGGUUCGUUUGUUCAACGAUUAAAACCCU
rnacentral:rRNA from 1 species